UAGACCUAUGGCCCGAUUAUCCAUGUUUGUAUGUCGUUGAUUCAGCAGAUUUCAAAAACCAGGAUAAACGCUUCCUUGCUGCGUCAGAAAUCGCAGAGAAACUCAACAAAACAGCUCAGUGGGUCUUUUCAAAGAUAAAAGCUCUUCGCAACAGCUACACAAAAAUAAAGAAACUGGGACCCAGUGGAAGUUCAAGGAAAAGUUUAAGUAAAAGAGCAACCUGGAUGAAAGAGAGACUACAGUUUUUGGAUCCACACAUACAGACAAGAACAUCAAUCUCAAAUUUAAACAAGAAUUCAACGGUCUCAUCUGAAGUAACAAGUGA